UACGUAGGGUCCGAGCGUUGUCCGGAUUUAUUGGGCGUAAAGAGCUCGUAGGCGGUUCCGUAAGUCGGAUGUGAAAACUCGGGGCUCAACCCCGAGACGCCAUCCGAUACUGCGGUGACUUGAGUCUGGUAGGGGAACACGGAAUUCCUGGUGUAGCGGUGAAAUGCGCAGAUAUCAGGAGGAACACCAAUGGCGAAGGCAGCUCGCUGGGACGGUACUGACGCUGAGGCGCGAAAGCGUGGGGAGCAAACAGG
rnacentral:rRNA from 1 species